rnacentral:rRNA from 1 species
GUGCCAGCAGCCGCGGUAAUACGAAGGGUGCAAGCGUUACUCGGAAUUACUGGGCGUAAAGCGUGCGUAGGUGGUUGUUUAAGUCCGUUGUGAAAGCCCUGGGCUCAACCUGGGAAUUGCAGUGGAUACUGGGCAACUAGAGUGUGGUAGAGGAUGGCGGAAUUCCCGGUGUAGCAGUGAAAUGCGUAGAGAUCGGGAGGAACAUCUGUGGCGAAGGCGGCCAUCUGGACCAACACUGACACUGAGGCACGAAAGCGUGGGGAGCAAACAGGAUUAGAUACCCUGGUAGUCCACGCCCUAAACGGUGCGAACUGGAUGUUGGGUGCAACUUGGCACGCAGUAUCGAAGCUAACGCGUUAAGUUCGCCGCCUGGGGAGUACGGUCGCAAGACUGAA